GAAUCCCGUCUUUGACACGGACUACCAAUGCUUUGUGAUGCGCUCUCAAAGAGUCGAGUUGUUUGGGAAUGCAGCUCAAAAUGGGUGGUAAAUUCCAUCUAAAGCUAAAUAUAGGCGAGAGACCGAUAGCGAACAAGUACCGUGAGGGAAAGAUGAAAAGCACUUUGGAAAGAGAGUUAAACAGUACGUGAAAUUGCUGAAAGGGAAACGCUUGAAGUCAGUCACGUCUGCCAGGACUCAGCCUUGCUUUUGCUUGGUGCACUUUCUGGUUUGAUGGGCCAACAUCAAUUUUGACCGUUGGAGAAAGGCUUUGGGAACGUGGCACCUUCGGGUGUGUUAUAGCCCUUUGUUGUAUACAACGGUUGGGAUUGAGGACUGCAGCAUGCCUUCAUGGCCGGGGUUCGCCCACGUACGUGCUUAGGAUGUUGGCAUAAUGGCUUUAAGCGACCCGUCUUGAAACACGGACCAAGGAGUCUAACAUGCCUGCGAGUGUUUGGGUGGAAAACCCAUGCGCGUAAUGAAAGUGACAGCUGAGAUCCUCUCAUCAGGAGCAUCAGCGCCUGGACUUGAUCUACGGAGACGGUUCUACGGUAGAGCAUGUAUGUUGGGACCCGAAAGAUGGUGAACUAUGCCUGAAUAGGGUGAAGCCAGAGGAAACUCUGGUGGAGGCUCGUAGCGAUUCUGACGUGCAAAUCGAUCGUCAAAUUUGGGUAUAGGGGCGAAAGACUAAUCGAACCAUCUAGUAGCUGGUUCCUGCC
rnacentral:rRNA from 1 species